rnacentral:rRNA from 1 species
AUGGGUCUCUCAGAUGCAACGGUGCAGUGGUGGGAUGAGUGGAAGCUACGCCUCCUCGUCUUGUGCAGCCUCUCUGUCCAGUUCUUCCUCAACUUCUCUUUUUGGGUGCGUAUAUGGCCCAGGCUACGGAGGUUGAGGGUGCUGGUGUGGAUGGCGCACAUAGGCGGGGAUGCCUUGGCCAUCUACGCUCUCGCCACCCUCUUCAACCGCCAAAAGCAGCAAACUGCGGACGGGGGGAGCGACGCUCUCGAGCUCAUAUGGGUGCCUUUUCUCCUCAUUCACCUCGGUGGCCCGGAGAUGAGUGCCUACAGCCUCGAGGACAAUGAGCUAUGGAAGCGGCAUGCCUUAACUCUGGUAUCCCAAGUCGCGGUCGCCUUGUACAUCUUCUGCAAGUGGUGGUCCGGCCAAAAGAUGCUCCUGCAGGCGGCAGUCUUGCUCUUUGUCGUCGGCAUCCUCAAGUUCGGUGAGAAGCCAUGGGCCCUUAAGAAGGCCAGCUUUAAUACCAUGGCCUCCAAAAGUUUGUCCACACCAAGAGAAGAAGGAUCCCUCCCUCCAUGUUGGAAAUGGUGCACUUCGGAUUGCACAGAUUUUGCUUCAGCAAAAAUGAAGGAAGAAGACCAGAGCAACCUUUCAAUUGAAGACUAUGUAAAAGAAGCAAAGGGGCUUGUCCUAAGCACGGGGGUACAAAGUGAAAGUGACCAAAAGACGGAGGUUGUCAAAAAAAUUCCAGAUGCAACGAGCUACACCUCUAUGAUGCUCGUGGACCUAUCUACCAGGUACUCUCUUCGUCUUGAGUAUCUGCGGUAUUUCCUCACGAUGGAUGACAAGAAUGGACACGAUCUUUUACGGUUGUGGAUUCUGAAUACAUUUAAUGCCCUGUACACCAAAAGGGCAUCAGCCAGUACUUGUUUUGGCUGCUGCUCUGGGUUAUUGCUUCCUUUCCUGGUCUUAGCUUCCCUGGUGCUCUUCGCCAAGAGUGACAAGGAUGGUUACAAUGAGGAGGACAUUACAGUAUCAUAUAUCCUAUUCAUUUGCACAGUUGUGAUUCAGUUCGCACCCUUUUUGUGCGUGCCUUGCACCAUUUGGGGCGCACUCAAUAUUGCUACUUGGCAAGACAUGGUUUCACAGCACAACCUCAUGUUAUUUUGUGCUCGCAAGAAGCAGCCCACCACUUUGAUGAAGCGUGCUACCUUGGAGUGUCUCAGAGAGUACAUUAACAAGCAAUGGUACACUUGGCAAGAGCCUGCGGCCCUCCAGAUUGAAGGGUUGAUUCGCCAGUACAUACAAGAUGGGUGGAAAGAGUACAUAAGUGAUAAUGAUCCCACCACAUACAGAAGAUUCAAUAAUCUCAGGGGACAGCGUACUCUGUUGAGGCACCCUCAGCUGGGACCGCAACUAGGUUGGAGCCUCGACCUGCCGUUCGACGAGAUUGUUCUUGUGUGGCACAUAGCCACAGAUCUCUGCUUCCACACAUCCUCCCAAGGUCAAAGUGGAGUCACCAUCCAACAUGCCAGGCAGAUAUCCAACUACAUGAUCUACCUGCUUUUCAUAUGUCCUGAGAUGCUAAUGCCAGGGACGAGGCAAGAUUUGUUCAUAAUUGCUUGUGAUGAUAUUGACCGCAUUCUCACGGACCAGAAGGAUCCACCAAGCAUUGCACGGAGGAUUCUCCUCAUGGAACAUGGUGAAGUUAAAGGAGUUGUACUUCCCAAUGCACACAAACUCGCCAAGGAGCUCAUGGCCCACCCCAACGAGGAACAGAGGUGGAAGGUGAUCCAAGGUGUUUGGGUGGAGAUGCUCUGUUAUUCUGCCAGCAGAUGCAGGGGCUACCUGCACGCCAAGAGCCUGGGUGAAGGUGGGGAAUUCCUUACAAAUGUCUGGUUCUUAUGGUCGUUGAUGGGAAUGGAAAUCUUGGGCGACAAGAUCCACAUACAAAAUCAGCCUCUUAAAGAAGAAGGAAUCAUGGGUGCUCCAGUGUGA